GGAGAGAGAAGACAGGACAGAGAGAGAGAAAGAGAGAGAGAGAGAGAGAGAGAGAGAGAGAGAGAGAGGAUGGAAAGCAAGGAGAGGAGAGAAGGAGAGGGAGGUAGGAAAGAAGAAAAGACAAAGAGUCUCACCUGCUGUCUUAUACCUAAUGGAAGAGCACAGGGAAAACAGGGCAGCUCUGAGAAGAUGCAUUCUCAGCGAGGCAGAGCGGGGAGAGAGAGGAGUGGACUAAUGGAGAAAGAAGAGAAAGAGAAAGCCCGGGGAGAGAGAGUGAGAGGAGAGAGGGAACACAGAUAGAAGAGAAAACAAAGGAGGAGAAAGAGCAGGAGGGAGCAAGAGGGAAGUGGGCACAGUGGUCAUUUUGUGCACUGCUGUAAGCACAGAAACAGCUUCCCAGUCAUAUCCAUUGAAGGACAGGAUUGCCCUCAGUGAUGUGCAGUCUUAACACUCAACAUGGCAGAGGGGGAAUCAAAGAGAGAGAUGGAGGGGGAGAGAAGGGAGAGAAAGUGAGAGACAGGACAGAGAAAGAGAAAAAAGGAGAGAAAGAAUGAGGAGAUGUAGGAAGACAAGAGGAGAGUGAGGAGAGACAGUGGGGGCAGGGGGGCAACCUAGAAGGGGAUAACCAGGUCCUCCAUUUAUACACAACUAUCAGAGCACAGAGCCCACUAGAGGACCCUGCUGGUCCCAGAACAGGAGAGGGGGAGGGGAGAGAGGUGAGCUAGAGAUGAGAGUGGAGUGGAGAGAUACCUUGAGGAGAGUGAAAGGAAAAAUGGAGUGUGAGAAAGGUGGAAGCAGGAGAGAGAGAGCAGAGAGUAGGGGAGAGAUGGAGAGG
rnacentral:lncRNA from 1 species